UACAUAGGGUGCGAGCGUUAAUCGGAAUUACUGGGCGUAAAGCGUGCGCAGGCGGUUCGUUGUGUCGGUGGUGAAAUCCCCGGGCUUAACCUGGGAAUGGCCAUGGAAACUGGCGAACUGGAGUGUGGCAGAGGGGGGUGGAAUUCCGCGUGUAGCAGUGAAAUGCGUAGAUAUGCGGAGGAACACCGAUGGCGAAGGCAAUCCCCUGGGCCUGCACUGACGCUCAUGCACGAAAGCGUGGGGAGCAAACAGG
rnacentral:rRNA from 1 species